GCGUUAACCAACGUAAACCCUAACUAGUUCCUAGAUUUGGAGCUGGGAAGUUAUUUAGAACUGUUAACUUUGGCUAAAAAAGGCAGCGACCUGCUCUGGGAUUCAUCCGUAAAGGAAAGAGAACCAACUGACAAGCUAUCUACUGACUUAGACCUGGCCUCCUCAUCCCCAGCAUCCCCUCUACUGCAAGCUUUGUGUUUUUAAAGGAGAUACCUUUGAAAUGCUAGCAGUGACUUCAGCAGCCUGGUGAUGCUCCCAAGUCAUAAAAAAGAACUUCAAUUUCCCUGCCAAGGAACUGAAUGGUGAAGAUUUGCCACACCAUCUUUGAAAGCUCCAUCUGCUGGUCACUGAAUAAAGUUAAUUUUCAAAUACCGUAUUUAUAUUUACUACGACCUGAAGAAAUACAUUAGGAUGCUUCUCAUAUAUCUUUGAAGAGGUUUAUUGGCUGUGCUGUCAACAAUAAGAAGUCACUUGCUGCAUGUGCUUACAGAGCACUUGAAAUAUCACUAGUAGGAAUUGAGAUGUGCUUUAAAUGUAAAAUUCACAAUGCGAACAAAACAAUAUAAAAUAUCUCAUAUUUUUAUAUUGAUUAUGGAAAUGACAAUAUGUUGGAUAUAU